UACGAAGGGGGCUAGCGUUGUUCGGACUCACUGGGCGUAAAGCGCACGUAGGCGGCUUGUUAAGUCAGGGGUGAAAUCCUGGAGCUCAACUCCAGAACUGCCCUUGAUACUGGCAAGCUGGAGUGUAGGAGAGGUUGGUGGAACUGCGAGUGUAGAGGUGAAAUUCGUAGAUAUUCGCAAGAACACCAGUGGCGAAGGCGGCCAACUGGCCUAUUACUGACGCUGAGGUGCGAAAGCGUGGGGAGCAAAUAGG
rnacentral:rRNA from 1 species